AGGCAACAAGCAUGCUGGGACCAUUCUGUCUGCUGUUUGGGUCUCACUUGUCCUGACAACUAAAAAUCAUCAGUGGAAAGAAGCUGGAGUCAUCCUAACAAGAGUGAUAGUCUUUCCCCAAGUGAGACCAGGCUGUGCUAUCUGGGGAAAAGCAUCACUGGCCUUGCCGAGAUGCACCGACGACUCAGUUCAGCUAAGGACUUAACCAGUACAGGACUUGCUGCAGUGGAGCCUGAGCUGGAUAUGGAAAGCAAAAGAAGUUGUGUCUGGCUACUCCCUUGCACCAGCAGAGACAGAUGGUCUUAACAUCAGCAGAGACAGAGACAGCAGGACAACAUGGCCUUAACAUGGAGCAUAGGAUUGUAAAUCAAUAAACUAACA